rnacentral:rRNA from 1 species
GGUGAAUCCUGGACAACAUGCUAGGUAAGAAGUAGGUUCAAGGCGGGAUGCUGUAGCAUUGGGGUUAGAUUGAACGUAGGAGACCUGAGAAUUCAGCGUAGAAGGUUUAUGGCUUAGCCAAAAAAUGUCGAGUGAUACGGUAGGGCUUGAAUGUUUGUGAAGAAACUAGAAUAUGUAGUGUAGCGGGGAAAUGCUUAGAUAAUACAGGGAGUAACAACUGCGAAGACAGUUUAAUAACAAAUGAUUGACGCUGAUCGUCGAAUGCGUCGGUAGCGAACAGGAUUAGAUGCCCGAUUAGUC